GACAACAAUGUCAUCUAUGUAAAUUUGCAUAACUUUCCCUAUAAAAUCAUGAAACAUAGAAUUCAUUGCUCUUUGAUAACAAGCACCAACAUUUUUUAGACCAAAAGGCAUUACUAUCCAUUCAUAACAACCUAAAGCCUCUGGAUAUCUAAAAGCGGUUUUAGAUACGUCUUCUUAAGCAAUGUAUAUUUGAUUAUACCAAGAAUAACCAUCUAGCAUGCUUAAAUAUUCAAAACCUGGUGCUGAAUCAACAAGCAUCUCUGCCACUGGCAUAGGGUAUUCAUCUUUUGGAGUAGCUAAGUUUAAAUCCCUAAAAUCUAUACAGACUCUAAGAGUCCCAUUUUUCUUAACAACAUGAACAAUAUUAGCUAACCAAUCUACAUACCUUGCAGUUCUGAUGAAGCCACAUUUCAACAAUCUCUCGAUUUCUUCUUUGAUCUUCGAUUGGAUUUGUGGUACAAACCUUCUUGGAGUCUGUUUCACUGGCUUUUUGUCAGGUCGAAUUGGUAAUUUAAGUUCUACCAUAUCUCGACUCAAACCUGGCAUCUCAUUGUUGUCCCAAGCGAAACAGUCUUUUUAUUUCUUCAACAAUUCAAUAAUUUGAACUUUGAAGUCUUUGUCAAGCUUGGUGCUAAUGUAAGUUGGUAUUUUUAUUGAACCAUCACCUAGAUCAACCUCUUCCAAAGGGUCCUGAGCUUUCAUUUUCUCAGCUGAUCCCAUUGGAUCUUUCUCGAAACCCAAAGGUUCAUCAUCAUAAAUACAAUCCAACAUUUGGCUUUCAAUCGAACUGAAUUGGAAAUCAUCAUUAGCAUCUUUGAUUGAUUUUUCUUGUUCGAUUUUGGCUUCUAAAGCCGCUUUUCAUUAUUUUCGGCUACAUAAGCUGUAAUCUUUUCUCAGACAUUGGCUUCAGCAAUUAUCAACACUGACAUCUUCCCACCCAGAUGGUGAGACUCCAAUUUCAGGAUGCCCCUAGGUUGGGGUCCUUGCAUACAUAGAGGAUCUAGUCCUCAUUACAUUAUCUUCAACACAUCCCUUCUUCAAGAUGAAACCAUUUUUUGUUUGCAGAUUCAUUGACCAAAGGAAAUUUCCAUAGUUCUCAUAACCAAUUGUAGAAAUAGGGCAUGGCCCAAUUCUUGCUAAUUGUUUGUCGAAGGUUUUCUUUGUGAUAUUGAAAACAUUAGCCACAAAGUAAAUUUGAUGUGCUUCAAUAUUUUCUAGCACACCAUUUUCCUUCGAGAGAGAAAGUUUUUGAUGCAUUGUUAAAGGAACAGCUCCAACACCAUCUAUCCAUUAUAUGCCAAGUAGCAAAUUGUAGUUAGCCUUUGACUCAACUACCAAGAAUAAUGUUGGCCUUUUCACAGUUCCUACCACCAGAUCAACUUCAACAGCACCAACGGAACUUACAGAUUUCCCUUCCAGAUUCUGAUAAGCCAAUAUUUUUUAAAAGAAAGUGUGGCAAUAGAUUCACUGUUGCACCUCCAUCCACUAGGACCUUGUUUACUCCAACAUAAUUAAUCUUAGCCUAGAUGAACAAAGGUUUGAUAUUAUGCUACAUGUGGUGAUCACGUCUUUCGAACAUAGCCUCUGUAACCUUUGAUAUAACAUCAUAUUCAAUUCGAAGAAUUGAUACGACAAGAAUUAUAUUGAGGCAAGCUUCAAAAUCAAUGAAGUUCGAAGUUAAUUCUUCAUCUUCGACAGAAAGACCUUUCUUCACAACUGAAAGGGGAGGAAAGACCCUCUUAGUGGCAGGCUUUCUAAACAUAUCGAAGACAGCUGGUUCUUGGUUCUUUCCUUUGUUAGAAUUUUUGUUAACAUUUGUAACAUCUUUCAAGGCAUCAGCCUUUUUCUGCCGCUAGAAUAUACGCCAUUGAGGUUUUGUCAUGGGACUUUUCCCUUUGUAGUUGGUGUUAUGAACGAACCUCUUUGAACCAAGCGUUUCUUCUCUCUUCUGAUCAGGCAUCUCAUUCUGAUCAUUAUUUCCAAUAACUUUCUUUACACCAGAAAGUACCCACUACUCAAUUGGAGAUUUUCCAGUGACUUUCGUAACCCAUUUUGUAGGUGGAGACUUCUGAUUGGGUUUUUUACCACCAGAGAAUACCCAUUUAUUAUUUGGGGAUUUGGAGGGAGGAGUGAAAGUUUUCACUGGUCCCUUCUUCUAGUUUGCAGUUAGGGAUGUGUCCUUGAGAGGAGUGUUUGGUUUUUCGAAACUAAACUUAGUCAUUUCGUUAGCCCAUUUUCAUUUCCACUUUGAUUGAGUUCGAAAACCUUCAACACUCUUCGCAGCUUUCUUGUAAAAAACAACACUACACCUAGGACACCACAUAACUGGGGAACCAUAAAUUUUGCAUCUGUUAAAAUAAUCAAUAAGAUCUUCUUCAACUUUGGGAAAUACUACUUGUAUUUUUUCUUCAUACUGAUCUUCAGCAAUCACUAAAUCAGCACAUUUAUGUCCUUCGGUAGCCAUUUCGACAUCAACCUUUGGGCCAUCAAUAGCCACUAUAGGAUCGAUCUCAGAUAUUUCCACCAUGUUCAUGCCUGCUAUUUCCAGGUACAUGGAAUUUGCUUUCUUCAAAGGAUCAACAUCAACUUGCAUUGGCUGCUUUCGUUUGUCUCCAAACUUCAACCUACCUUCAUCUAGUGCUUUUUGCACCGAAUUCCCAAAAACCAGACAACGAGGUUUGUUAUGACCAAAAUUGCCAUGGAACUUACAAUAUCCUAUUUUUUGCCUUUGAUCAAGAGGUGGUAAUUUCAAACCUUUAGGUACUUCCAUUAUGCCUUCAUUGACCAAAAGAUCAAAGAUCUCAUCACAUUUGGUAAGAUCAAAUGUGUAGAUUUUAGACACAAAUCUGUCAUUUUUAGGUUCUUCAAGAUUCUUUCCAUUAGAAGGUUUCAACAACUUACAUACAAAUGGAGGUCCUAGUUGCACUUCAGCGAUAUUAACUUCGCUUUCUUCAACAGGACUCCAAUCAAUGUCGAAAUCUUGAUUGCUAUCAUUAGCAUCGACAUAAGCAACCUUCUCUUUUUUACGUACUUGUUAGCCCUUGCUUUUUCAGCUUUAAGUCUUUCGACUUGUCAAACUCUAUCUGCUAAUUACGUCAAACACUUGUCAAUUCUUUGAGACUAAUCUUAGAUUGCCCCAGUAGAAUUGUUCAUAGAAAUAUUUCAUUCUCAAGUUCUCAUUAUUUGCUAUGUCACCUGCCUCUAUCGAGUAACGAUAAAUAUGUUCGACCGUGGAUUCAUUAGUUUCUCCACCAAAUUUGGUGAAUUUAGGGAUUUUCCACCCCUGGGUAAUUCCUCCAUUGUCACAUACUCAGAUAAAGGCGACACAAAAUUAGGUCUACGCAAACCCAAAUUGAAACCAUUUUGAGUCAAAAGGGUUUCCACUAUGUUAACAAUAUUAUUUUCACCCUCCAAAUUAAUUUGUUGGGCUUGCCUAACUAUUUGAUCAGGAUCUUGGUUCCUUUGAACCAAGAUUGGAAGUUUUUCUUUCACCCUUGGCACUUGUGGUUCGACCACAGGUUGAGGUACUAAAUUUGCAGGAUUUCCAUCAUUAGGCCUAUUUACAGGUACUUCAACAGGCCUAGGAUUAUGAACAUGUAUUUUCACAUUUCGUGUAGGAUGAGCGCCAAAGAAAUCAGCAAUUCGCCCCAUUUGGCCUGAUAGUGGUAAAUAACUAUUCGUGUAGGAAGAAGUCGCACCUCGACUUUCAAAUUUGUGAAAGAAAGAGUGUGGAAGAAGAUUAACUCUUGGAACAGCAAAUGCUUGUCACAAGCUGGACGAGAAACUCUAAUCAAAUCGGUCUUGCAGUCAAUACCUUCGUACAUCAUGAGUAUCUUUGCUAUCCCUAAAUCCAUUAUUGUUGAUAUCGAAAAAAUGCUUAAUUCAUUCUGGUGGGGUCACAACAAAAGGAACACCAAAGGAAUCAACAUGAUGUCAUACGAAAGGCUUAGCAUUCACAAAAAGGAAGGGGGUCUUGGUUAUAAAAAUCUCCGUGCUUUUAACGAGGGUAUGCUUGGAAGUUCAUGACGGAACCACACAACAUUGUCACCAGAUUGUUCAAAGCAAAAUAUUUUAACAAAUGUGAUUUCUUGGACUCAAAGAUUGGUCACAAUCCAAGCUACGUUUGGCGCAGCAUUUGAGGGGCCAAGAGUUGUUAGUGAAUGAUACAAGUGGAGCAUUGGUUCAGGAACUGAUAUUUGUGUAUGGGACCAACGAUGGCUAGUGGAUGGUGGUCUUUUACAGAAGCCAGAAAGUUUGCCAGAAGAAUUCAAAUAGCUUACUGUUUCAGAUCUAUUCAUAUCUCAGACUCGGUUUUGGAAUGUUGGUUUAUUGAGGAACCUUGUUAGCAACAAAGAUACUAAUCGCAUCCUUAAUACUCCAAUCUUUGAACCUAAUCAGCACGAUAGAAGAGUGUGGAAGUCAGAGACAAAUGGUAUCUAUUCUGUUAGAAGUGGAUAUCGUAUCAGUCUCAGUCAACAUGUGGAUUUGAGUACUCACCGUUGUGAUGGAAAUUGGGUACUCUUUUGGAAUCUUAAGGUACCUCCUAAGGUGAAAACUUUUCUAUGGAGAUCGUGCAGAAAUGC
rnacentral:lncRNA from 1 species